UGAGCUGAGCUUGUAGGAAUUGUAUGCUGAAGCUAGAAAAUGAAAAAUAUUCAUUUCAUAUGAUGGAGAACACAUUAUAGCUGCAGCAUACAAUUCCUACAAGCUCAGCUCACAAAUCCGAGCCCGUUACAAUCAGAAAUACGAAUCUCAACUAACAAAUUAAGAAGAAGAAACAAGGCCAUCCUUCAACUUGUCGCAAUCAAACCCACACCCACACUGCGGAGACUCCUCAAAGUUGUCAACUGGAAAGCUGGCUGAAGCAAUCCCAACAGAGAAAUCGAGAUCAUCGCCAUCCCGACUCACUUCCACGAUGUUUAGCCACAGCAAAACAACGUAAACUCUAACACCCUUCAACUUCCUGAGCCUGCCUUUGGAUAUUACACCCGUAAUCGUAGACUUGUACUCCAGUGUAUAUGAUUCGAUACGAUAUUUACAAGUUCCGUUCAAAUAAGCUGAGAACUCGCCUGUUUCUCUGUUUAACUCGUACCCAGCUACCCCUACUGGAAGAAGACCCCUUGGAAAGUCAUAUGUUGCAAGAACUUCAUAUGCUGAUAGCUUACCAUCAUCAUCAUCACCAGAUGCAAACGGAGUUGUGGAAGAAGUCAUCAGAGUGAAUAAAAUUGCCCAUAAAAGAGCCAUUAAAGGCAAAGAUUUUGGAAGUGGAAGCAAACCCAUGUCUAAUUGAAUGGAUGGAAUUUAUCAAUCGAAGCAAGGAGCUAGGAUUAUGAGGUUUAUAAAAAAUAAAGAACAACAGUGGUAAUGUUGUGUUCGGUUCUGAGACACACUUUGAACCACAGGGAUCUACAAAAAGGAGAACUGAAUGUCGGCAGCAAGGCAAGUGAUGGAGUCCAUCAUUUAAGAGGCUAUCAUUAUUAAUAACAAU
rnacentral:misc_RNA from 1 species